CUGGCUUGGAAAGCAGAUGGAAGAAGUGUGCUGCUUGCGCACUGAUCUUCCAGCGACCAUUUAUUGUCCCUGGGAUUUUUUUCCUUCUCCUUUUUUAAAAUUGAGAUCCAGCUCAUCCAACUUGUAACGUCGAACAGUUAUGGACAGAAUGUGCUGUUUAAAUGGGAUGUCUGUCUUCUGCUCUCUUUACAUCUACGAA